rfam:Felis catus isolate Cinnamon breed Abyssinian chromosome B3, whole genome shotgun sequence.
GCCUGGGUGGCUCAGUUGGCUGAGCAUCUGACUUUGGCUCAGGUCAUGAUCUCACGGUUCAUGGGUUCGAGACCUGUGUCAGGCU